GCUGCCUCGCUUCCUUUUCUUCCCAAUCCUCGCCCACUCGCUCGUCACUUGAUCGCUCUUCACCGCCCUCGAUCGCUGCCUCCGCUUGCGUCUCCUCGUUCCAUGCUUCGGUUCCCUUCCUCUUACAGGGUCAUCGAUCAAGCCCGCCCUUGAUCGUCCUUCAGCUCGCUGCUCGGGGAGGUUCUUUGCUCGUUCGCUGCGCGUCGGCGAGACAGGUCCUGUUGUCAGCAUCUUCAACUGCUUUACUGAGUACCAGUUGCUAGCUCUUCGGUUCUCCAUCUUCGUGUCAAGAGUGAGGUUGCUGCUUUUGCACAGUGGGUUCUUAUUAUUGGAGAUGGGACAGCCCCUGCUGUUGCACGGAAGGAGAAUCGCUCCCUUCAUGGAUGGCCAAGAAUACAAUUAGCUUGCUUUCAAAGAUACAUGACAAGGAAAUCAACUGGAAUGUGUGUGUGUUCCUCUCUCAUCUAUGACAUUAUCGUCGGACAAGCGAUGACGGCCCAAUUCUGCAUACUAACCUUGUGGUUAUCGAUCAAGAGGGAACCACCACAUGUAUCCACAGCUUCCUCCUGAGGCAUCUGAACGCUUGAAGGAUGUUCUAGGGGAAGGAAAGGUCUCCCUCAUGAAGAAGUUCAUGUGCAACAAUCGAAGUCAUCUUUCAGGGCUGUUGAGAGCCCUUACAUGAUUCAGUUCACUCGAUACAGCACCGCUGUGCCUCAGCCAGGUCUUGAGGAUGCAUAUACA